CUUCCGUCCGUUUUCAUGUCCACUCUGCAAAUGCCCCCCUCAUCACUCAUUUUCCCAAUUAUGAUCCAUGUUACCUUACGUGGUUUGCUGUAUAAUGUGUAUUGCGAUCGUGGAAGAUGAUGCUGAUCGUCUGGCUUUUAUUGGCUAUUGAUCUAGAUGCUUUUUAUAUUUAUUUACAUGGCAUCCCAUAUCUGACCCCCUCAUAUUCUAUGUCACAAAUCCUCAUUUGGUCCAUAAUAAAUGUUUGACGACAAACCAUUUCGAUAGCAUCUUACUACUACCUAUAACGUAUUAGUAGAGGAUUGUAUAUUAGCAUCUGUCGCGUGUAAUAUAAAAGGAAAGAUUAUGAUUGGUGAACGUUAUUAUUAACAAUGUUGAGGAGCUUCUUUCUGUGUUAGUGAUGUUGCCACUUCUACCUCUAUGCAAUCUGCCG
rnacentral:sRNA from 1 species